CGCUGGCGGCGCGCUUAAUACAUGCAAGUCGAACGAGAAGCCAGAGCUUGCUCUGGUGGAAAGUGGCGAACGGGUGAGUAACACGUGAGAAACCUGCCCAAGAUUGGGAUAAGCCUUGGAAACGAGGUCUAAUACCAAAUACCUUCUUUUUAACACAUGUUAAAAGAAGAAAUGCUCCGGCGCUUUGGGAUGGUCUCGCGAUCUAUCAGCUUGUUGGUGAGGUAACGGCUCACCAAGGCAUCGACGGAUAGCUGGUCUGAGAGGAUGUCCAGCCACAUUGGAACUGAGACACGGUCCAAACUCCUACGGGAGGCAGCAGUAGGGAAUCUUGCACAAUGAGGGAAACCUUGAUGCAGCGACGCCGCGUGCGGGACGAAGGCCCUAGGGUUGUAAACCGCUUUCAGUAGGGACGAAAGUGACGGUACCUACAGAAGAAGCCCCGGCCAACUAUGUG
rnacentral:rRNA from 1 species